rnacentral:rRNA from 1 species
GACGAACGCUGGCGGCGUGCUUAACACAUGCAAGUCGAACGGAAAGGCCCUGCUUUUGUGGGGUGCUCGAGUGGCGAACGGGUGAGUAACACGUGAGUAACCUGCCCUUGACUUUGGGAUAACUUCAGGAAACUGGGGCUAAUACCGGAUAGGAGCUCCUGCUGCAUGGCGGGGGUUGGAAAGUUUCGGCGGUUGGGGAUGGACUCGCGGCUUAUCAGCUUGUUGGUGGGGUAGUGGCUUACCAAGGCUUUGACGGGUAGCCGGCCUGAGAGGGUGACCGGCCACAUUGGGACUGAGAUACGGCCCAGACUCCUACGGGAGGCAGCAGUGGGGAAUAUUGCACAAUGGGCGGAAGCCUGAUGCAGCAACGCCGCGUGCGGGAUGACGGCCUUCGGGUUGUAAACCGCUUUCGCCUGUGACGAAGCGUGAGUGACGGUAACGGGUAAAGAAGCACCGGCUAACUACGUG